rnacentral:rRNA from 1 species
UACAGAGGCCUCAAGCGUUGUUCGGAAUUACUGGGCGUAAAGGGCAUGUAGGUGGUCAGGUAAGUCAGAUGUGAAAGCCCUGGGCUUAACCCGGGAAGUGCAUUUGAUACUGCUUGGCUAGAGUGCGGAAGAGGAAAGUGGAAUUCCAGGUGUAGGGGUGAAAUCCGUAGAUAUCUGGAGGAAUACCGAUGGCGAAGGCAGCUUUCUGGUCCGUAACUGACACUGAGAUUCGAAAGCGUGGGUAGCAAACAGG